GGUCGGGUAGCUCAGUUGGCAGAGCGAUCGCCUGAAAAGCGAUAGGUCACCGGAUCGACGCCGGUUCCGACCACCA
rnacentral:tRNA from 1 species